AAAUUGAAGAGUUUGAUCAUGGCUCAGAUUGAACGCUGGCGGCAGGCCUAACACAUGCAAGUCGAACGGUAACAGGAAGCAGCUUGCUGCUUCGCUGACGAGUGGCGGACGGGUGAGUAAUGUCUGGGAAACUGCCCGAUGGAGGGGGAUAACUACUGGAAACGGUAGCUAAUACCGCAUAA
rnacentral:rRNA from 1 species